GAUGAACGCUGGCGGCGUGCCUAAUACAUGCAAGUCGAGCGAACAGACGAGGAGCUUGCUCCUCUGACGUUAGCGGCGGACGGGUGAGUAACACGUGGAUAACCUACCUAUAAGACUGGGAUAACUUCGGGAAACCGGAGCUAAUACCGGAUAAUAUAUUGAACCGCAUGGGUCAAUAGUGAAAGACGGUUUUGCUGUCACUUAUAGAUGUAUCCGCGCCGCAUUAGCUAGUUGGUAAGGUAACGGCUUACCAAGGCAACGAUGCGUAGCCGACCUGAGAGGGUGAUCGGCCACACUGGAACUGAGACACGGUCCAGACUCCUACGGGAGGCAGCAGUAGGGAAUCUUCCGCAAUGGGCGAAAGCUUGACGGAGCAACGCCGCGUGAGUGAUGAAGGUCUUCGGAUCGUAAAACUCUGUUAUUAGGGAAGAACAAAUGUGUAAGUAACUAUGCACGUCUUGACGGUACCUAAUCAGAAAGCCACGGCUAACUACGUG
rnacentral:rRNA from 1 species